CGCCGGCCGGGCUGCGGGGUUCGCCUCCCCGAGCGGCGGGGGAACAAUGACAGCCCGAUGGGAAGUGGGAGGGGGCCUGGAGCAGCCUCCGGAAAGCGCCCCUGCCCGCACCGGUGUUCUCGCGCUCGGCGGUGCUAAAACAAGCUUGCUCCGAAGAGCUGUAGAUGCUGUUUCUGCCGAGUGAAAAUACUUUCUGUUGGCUCUGCUGUUACACACCUGUGUGUGAAGAAGGAAUUUGAUGGACUGACUCGCUGCCCGGAAAGCGAGUCCUGGAGUUCCAGGACCCAGUGAAUCCAUGAAUGCCAUCACAGAAAGCAGCAUCUAAGGCUUGAAUGCAGAGACAGAGGUUUAAUGUGUGGGAAGAUCGGCUUUGUGGCAUAUAACUUGAACGUCCAUAAUACACACAUAAAACACACAAAAUAUGCAAAACCCUGGGCUACACCCUUAGAUCUGGCGGGUGCUGAGAAAAUGGCAAGGCAGAGGCAGGGCGAGGAGCCCGUGGCAUCAGGUGGAGUUUUCAUUCAGGGUCACCCUGUAAAGUUGGGCAGGUUGUACACUGCACCUCAAGUACAUGGGGAGGACUGGGGGCCUCUUUCUAGUUUGCACAAAGGCACUAUUUGCUCACUGAGCACUCCUGAGGCUGUGUGUGCCCAGAGGAAGGACCUUUCCUAUUCAUAUCAAGUCUCCAUAGGUACCAGGGGAACCCUGAAGAAAUUUGGGGUGCCAUUCCACAGCACAGAGCCUGAUCCAACACCUCAGAGCAGUGCUCUGAGGUCAAUGCCAGGACCGAGCUCAGGGCACCAGGAUCUGGAGCCCUCACUCCCCUGUGCCCUGCCCAGUCCCAACCAGCCAGUGCUCCUGGGAGGCAGAAGAGGGAGGGAGGG